CAGACAUCUGUAGGCUGCACCUGGCGAUCACACCUUUGUUUUCCCCUUUCUUGCAUGCCAGUGCUCCUUCUGGCACCAAUAUCGAUCAUUUAGUGCUUCAGACUUUGAUGUCCUGUGGGUUGAUUUUGCAGUAUGGGAAGUGACAGAAAGCCCAAGUAUAAUUUGCUUUUAUUUACACAUCACUGGCAGCUGGGAGCAGCAGAAGGCAAUUCCUUGCUCAGCAGUCUCAGCCCAGCACCAGUGCCUGAUUUCCAGGGAGCCAUUUCUGCCUGAAGAAUUGAGUCUAAUCAAGGCCCAAGGCAGAGAACACACACUCCUGCUGCUUGCAAAACCAUGUUCUCCCUCAAGCAAUGCCUCUGCACGGAGCCUGGCAGACCAAUGCUAGAGGUACACGGUGUCCCUAUCUGAAGCUAAAAUAGAAGGACCAGCACAAAAAGCCUUUUGCAUGCUUUGUUUUUCUUGUAACAAACAACCGGACUUGCCAUCUCCUGAGAUACAAAAUUAUUGAAUAUAUGCAGAGAUAGUAUUGGUGGUUAUAGUCUAAAGAAACCCACAUUUAAGGUUCUGGACAGAUUGCCUUUGUGUUUAGUUUAGGGAAUAAGCAAAGGAUAACCACCCAUCCUUCAGACAAAGGGAACAGUGCAAACAUUGUGCUGAGACACCGAGUGCUGUCUUCCAGCAGUUACUGCAUGAACAACAAAAUACAUCCCUUCUAAGUGUCCAAUCUUAAAAAAAAGGCUUUCCAAAACUUACCUUUCACAAACAGUGAGAGCCCUCCAGUGCCAUCUCCAUGUGAUGCUGCUGGCACCCUAGCUGAGCUGUUUGCCGUUGCAGCCAUGCUCUGCAGGGAAAAGCAAAUGGAUGCAAUGCUUGACUGAAGGAAGGCCUUUCAGUGAUUUGGAAGACUGAGCAGAGGUGGCAGGGGGAGGAUUUCCCAGCUCUGCUGUGUAUGUUGAGGUGUGAGAGUUGUAUGUCUUCCACAACUGUUCAGAUUAAUCCUGAGACGUGACUGCACCAGAGAUCCCUGCUCUUUGUUCUUACGGACACAGACGUUUUUAAUUUCACUCUUGCAUUCUGUUAGCCACCAUGAAUUGUUCCAUCAUGGCCGAAAGGGUGAAAGCUGUUUUUCCAUCUGUGCCUGUAAGCCAUGCAAACUCUAGCUUUUGAUAUAAAUAAGCCCGAGCGACAAGAUCCAACAGAUCUCCAGAAUUUUCUGCCUUUACCAGCAUCGCUAAUUCACGCGCUAUAAAGUUAUCAGCAUAAGACUAAUAAAGCAGAGAGUUCUAUAAAAGUGGCAAGUGAGUCAUUGCAAUUGCUUCAGGCAGCGUAACCUACUUCUGCAUUCAGACACAGAUGGGAAAGAUUUACUCAUUGUCUCCAUUUUAGGUGCCUGCAAAAGAAGGCAAAGCACAAAAGGAAUCUUGCUUCCUCUCCAGUUUGUCCUCCCCUUCAACCCCAGCAGCAAAAAAAUCAAAUCAGCUCCCUUUAAAGGAGAGGGAUCUCAGUGGGACUGCACUGUAAGGCAAAAUAGACCUUUAUUAACUAAAAUUAUAUCGCAGUUUAGGGGAGAAGCAUAACAAUCUAAAGACAUUGUGAAUUUCAGAAACCCAAAAUAUAGACAUUUUAAGAUGUUUUUCAUAUUUAUUAGAUCUGGAAAAUGUGUUACUUUAGAGAUAAGGCAAAAGUUUUCAUAGUGAGAGACGUUUUCUGGCCUCUCUCUGCUCUGAUUUAAGUGAUGCAGCACCCAAGGGCUCUGCUUGUUUAUUAAAGGCAUCUGGUUUAUUUCCAGAAUAAAAAUAAAAAUUUUAAAAAAACAACCUUAAAUAAAUGCAUGGCAGAACUGGAAGGACGGGGUUAUUUAAGUCUGUGCCAUGGCUGGAGUCUGGCCCUCCCCUCUCUGAAUGUGGCUGUUGCUCACACUGGCAGCUGUGCUAACUCCUAGAGCUUCUUUACUGAGUGAGAGGCACGGAGUACAUCUACUGUGCAGUUCACAAGUGUGGUUUUAGCUUGUGCAAACAAACCUGAACGAGCUGUAAAGCAGGAACAAAACUGCCUAAAGCCAGCGGAUGAGCUCUCGGCUGCCUGAGCCCAAAGUGCCCCAGCUGUAGGCAGACGCAGGCCAGGUGGUGGGAUACCACUUUGGGUACAUCUGUAUGGGGCAGCAUGGGCCUGAGAUACCCAAGAGCUGACAGGCUUCUGACUUGUGUAUAUUGCUGCUUUCUGCCCAAAACCUUAUCCAGCUGAAUUCUGAGAAAUUGCUUUAUUUGCCUGGCAUAUUUGAGUACCCACUGUAUCUGUCACCAAUGGAAGGUGCAGUGCUUCUGCACACAGAUCGUGUCAUGCACAGUAAGGCCAACAUUGUCUCUCAACAUCUGACCAAAUGUUGUAAGGCUGCAACCUUGACUUCUUGACCUAUUCACAGCAGGAAUGGAAGCCUUGGUCAGAAGAUCCCAAGCCAGACUGGAUAUGCUGUGCCUCAGCCCCAGCAGGAGAGGAGGCCAGGAUGCUGCUCCCCAGGAACAUCAGUUUUAGAGCAGAAGCCACAUGAUUGCCCUCCGGGUGCAUUAAACACAUCAGAUUUUGGAAGCAUCAUACUUACUGUGACUGUAAUGUGGUGAUCAGCUGGGUCAAUGCCCAGCUGAGGCACACUAAUCAUAACAAGCUACUUGCUGCACUUGGGUAAGACUCCUUACUAGGGCAAAACUCCUGAUCCAUCAUAUAGAAUCAUAGAAUCGCUAAGGUUGGAAAAGACCCACGGGAUCAUCCAGGCCAACCAUUCACCCUUCACCAAUGGUUCUCACUAAACCAUGUCCCUCAACACAACAUCCAAAUGCUCUUUGAACACCACCAGGCUCGGUGACUCCACCACCUCUCUGGGCAGCCCAUUCCAGAGCCUGACCACCCUUUCAGAGAAGUAGUAUCAUAGAAUCAUAGAAUCGCUAAGGUUGUAUUUCCUAACGUCCAGCCUGAACCUUCCCUGACGCAGCUUGAAGCCAUUCCCUCUAGUCCUACCACUAGUCACACGAGAGAAGAGGCUGACCCCCAGCUCACUACAACCUCCCUUCAGGUAGUUAUAGAGAGCAAUAAGGUCCCCCCUGAGCCUCCUCUUCUCUAGACUGAACAAUCCCAGCUCCUUCAGCCGCUCUUCAUAAGGCCUGUGCUCCAGACCCCUCACCAGCUUAGUUGCCCUCCUCUGGACACGCUCCAGGGCCUCAAUGUCUUUCUUACAGUGAGGGGCCCAAAACUGGAUACAGUACUCCAGGUGCGGCCUCACCAGUGCUGAGUACAGGGGAAUAAUUACUUCCCUGUUCCUGCUGGCCACACUAUUUCUGAUACAAGCCAGGAUGCCGUUGGCCUUCUUGGCCACCUGGGCACACUGCUGGCUCAUGUUCAGUCUAGCGUCAAUCAACACCCCCAGGUCCAUUUCCUCUACACAGUCUUCCAGCCACUCUGCCCCAAGCCUGUAGCGUUGCCUGGGGUUUGUUGUGGCCAAAGUGCAGGACCCGACAUUUGGUCUUGUUGAAUCCCAUCCCAUUGGCUUCAGCCCAGCUAUCCAGCCUAUCCAGAUCCCUCUGUAGGGCCUCGCUACCCCCAGGCAGAUCAACACUUCCAGCCUGCUUGGUGUCAUCUGCAAACUCACUGAGGGUGCACUCAAUGCCCUCAUCCAGGUCAUCAACAAAGAUAUUAAAGAUAUUAAAAAUAUCUUUUCUUGAACAGACAAUGAAGAGACAGUCCAUACUCUGGGCAACUGCUACUUAAAAAUUCAUCUGCUUUUCAAAUCCCAAUAUGCCCAGUGUGGAGGGAAAGGAGAGAGGUACCUAACUGUCUUCAGAUGUGUUUCAUUUCCCCUGUCAUUUCAUGAAACCUGAAGCCAGAAUACUAUGAAAAGUGCAUUUGAGGCUUGAGUUUUCUUUCUUUUUAACAGUCUACUGCCUGCUUUUAAUGUUUACUGAGCUUUUGGCUGUAAAAAUGUAGCUGCAGCACAUGGUUGAGAGGUUUUUCUCAGUCUGUAGUCUCUGUCACAAAGGAAUUCCUCCUCCAGACUCCUUUGCCUUCCAUUCUGAGCUCCUCAGAGACCUCUGCUGCGGUCCCUGGCAGCAGAUCAAGGGGAAACAGCUUCAGUAAAAGCUCUCAUUGUAGCAACAAAACAUCAUUGAUCAACCAUGUUCAGUGCCAACAGCUUUUUGAAUCUGGCAUUUUUAAUGCCCAGUUUCUGCUUUCAUUCAAUUUUCAGGUAUCCUAUGUAAAGAAAGCCUCCUGAGAGGUUUUUUGUUGGUGUUGUUUUUGUUCCAUCCUCUGAGUUGAGUUUGAAACAAAAAUCUGCAGCUGAGUAGCCCUGAAAACAUCAGUCCAAAUCCAUUUCAGGCCAAGCCUGGCAGAGCCUUUUCCUGCCCUUCAUGUCUGUAGGGAAGGCAGAAGAAAAUAUGCUGAAGCACCAGCUGAAUAGUCGAACACCUGGCAGAGAGAGCUGCUCUGCUCAGCAGAGCAGCUACAGCACAGGCAGUCAACAGCUGCAGGAGAAAGGCAGCGACAUCAAGAUGCACUCCAUUGAAAACUGGUAAUUGAUCUGUUCUGCCACGACACACUGAAACACCAUCCUUCCAUGCUGGAAUUGCAGGCAGAGUGGGAAUGACUGACUGUUAUGAAUGCUAUUUGCAGAAUACCAAUGCAGUGCCCUUUCUCCACUUAAUAGAAAUUUAGAGUUCUUCACAGGGUAAGUGACUGUGCAAUCAGAAUAAACCAAAACUCAUUCAGAAAGCUACGGUAAAUCCCAGCACCGAGCAAGGUAUCCCUCACCCGGGACCAGACAGCCAUUUAGGAGUCCCCAGUUUCCCUACACUCCUCCUGUAUCUGGCUGAAAUUCUCCACACAGGCAACUGAGCUGCCAGUGGCUGGUUCAGAGUGUUGGGCACACAGGGCUGAAGACAUCCAUAUUUGGUGGGACAGACCCUGGGUUAGUCUUCAAACUCAGGGCAAUUCUUUCAACUAAACUGGAGAUAUUCCGUUUUUAUAUCUACAUCCUUGCUGGCAGAGCUCAGCCUAUUGCAGAGAAAGAUUCUGAUCUUUCUUUCAUCCCCAUGGGACACUGACUUCAGUAAAAUACUCCAUGCUUCAUUUCCCAGUGUUGCAAAACAACUUAAUGGAUCACACACUUAGGGGAGCGUUUCCAUUAAUUUCUAGCUAACAUUCCACCUCUCAUAGCACCAAAAUGUCAGCGGCUUUAGCCUUUUCAAAGCAUUUCCUCCAAGAGCACACGAAGUAAAAAGAAGGCAACUCGCAGUCUUCCUUAGCUAGAUCCAACCUUAUGUCACCUCUGAGGAUGGCGGAAGAGUUACACAAAGCCCCUUUCACUUACCUUUCCUCUGAGCACUUAGCCCUUGAUGACUGACAUUUGUUUGUGUGUGGCCCUGAUCCUCUUCCUCUUUGCACAGAUAUCAAGCACGGAGCUUUGCUAUAGUUGACGUCAGUGGCAUUUUAUCAGCCAAAGAGCAGACAGAAGUGCAGGUACAGCUGACAGAGGAGGCAGGUUGUGCGAGCAAAAAUAUGCAUUUGCUGUUACCAAAAUGGAACUUAUGCUUGUCUCUUUGCAGCUAUAGUCCUUUGAAGCAUUACAGAACCCUGUGAUAACCUAGAUGUUAGAGACGGUAUAAUCACUUAGAGAGUUAAUGUGCAUAAACACAUAUAAAAUGAUUGUUUGCAUUAUUCUUGCACAGUCUUUGUACUGUAUUACUGCAUAAAUCAGAUCUAUUUUACUUUCAUUUGCUAAUCCUUCUACUCUUUUGGGAGCAUCUCAGUGAAUGAAUACACAUUCCAUAUCCUUACAGCCUUAAAAACAAAUGUAUGUUCACAGAUACAUCUUCGAGAAUUUUUUUGCCACAAAGCAUAUUAUUCAAUGUAAUUAUGUAAGAUGCAUGACAAAUCUGAGUGCAAAGGGGCGUGUCAGACAGCAAGUCUUAACAGGAAAACUCAAAGCUUACACAUAGGUCCUGUACUUCUUUGGUGGCAGCUGCAGUCCUCUGAAGGUCAUAAUCCGUCCUGUCUUGCUCCUGCUGGUACCCAAGAGCAUAUGGCAGCCUUUGCAUGGAUGAGACAGUCACAAGUCAUCCCCAUGCAGAAACCAGGAGAAAAAUCAGCAGGAUCAUUUGGAGCAUAUGGAUCCAACGAGGCUUGAAACCUGCCUGAGUGGAGGAGUACGGCAUGCUCAGCUGGUAGCAAACGGCUGUAUUUCUCAGAGAGGAUGAUCCUGCGAAAAGUGGGGUGGAAACUGGUGGCUCCCAGAGGGAUAAGGCUCAUGCUAGCUGGAAGUGAAGGCUACUUUAUAUAGUGAGAGGACAACCCAGAGGGAGUAUGUGAGAUGCUGCCUCAGUAUUAAGCAAUAAUUUAGCAGCCUCCUGUGGGGAAAAAUCCGUGUCACAUUAGGGAGAAGCUGCAUGGCAGACAAGAGAUGUGUUUACAAAUAUUUUUCCUUUGAUUAUUUAGAGACUUCUUGCAAAGCCACAUUGUACUUUGCUUUGGACACCACAGCAGACAAACACCGACUCAAAGGGUUCAUAAAACGCUAAAAGGGGCACGAAGCACACAUGGAAGUUCUUCUUGCAAGGCCAAAAUCCAAUGGCAGAUACAAAGUAUGUACAUAGUUUUCUUUCAUGAUAACAUAGUCCUGUCUGUGUUGGUUAUCAUGCACCCAGAGAGCUGCCUCGCAGGCACGCUGCAUCUUUUUGCCAGCCUUUGACUACAUUUAGCAUGUAGAACUGGUUCUGUACAGGCACACGUUAUAGAGGCACCAGCCCUCACCAUAUAGAACAGUUUGACAGUUCUUACUUGCUGCACUAAGGUCAGCCAUGGCUCUCUGUACAUAUUUGUAUUUCAAUCCUGGCCCAGCAGCCUUGCAGAUGGAUGCAGAGCUCACGUAUGGCAUGGACACCAGCGGUGCUGGGGAGGAGGGACUCUGUGGUGUCCAAAAGUGAUUAGCUUUACUUCCAAAAGGGGAAUUCAGAGAGAAAAUGCAUUGCAGCACUUGGUCCUGGCACUAGCUGUAAUGUAGAUGUCUGUCUGAUGGGCACUGGUCUAAGACCAACAAAAUGCGAUUCAUACAGGCCACUGAGCAGCUUCUCAUGUUAAUGACUUUUGAAUGCCAGUGGCCUGAAUUGCAUCUGUAUUUUAUUAACACUGUUUACAGAGGGAGUAGAAUUCCAGAUGGAGCAUAAAGUACCUUUUUUCUUGUUCUUCCCAUAAUUGCAAAUGCUCAAAUUGCACUUGUAGCUGUUUUAUGACUUGACAUUGACCUUACACUCUUUGCAUUUUCUACAGCGGAACACUGCAAUUUCUAGGGAGUAGAAAGGUUAUACAGAACUGGUCAAUGCUCUGUGUGAUGCAAAUAAAAAUAAAGUUGUGAGUGUUUAAGCAAGUAUUUCUUUCCAUUUGGUCUUUGAAUUUUUAUUGCUUCCAGCCAGGUCACUUGAAAUGAAAUUGUCCUUCACAGUUCAAGCUAUGGUUGUCUUACGGAUGGCAUAAAGACAGUGCUUUAAGGUCAUUAGAGCCCUGAAGAUGUUAGAGCAGUCCAGAUGAUUUGCAUCUCUAAGGGAAAGGCUUUUAUUUCUGAACUGUUCACCUAAUACUGAUUUGAAAAUGUACCUUUUUCUUCUUCUUCUCAUGAAAACGCCUGUGCCAAGAAUUAGAAAAAGCCUUACUUACAGCCUUGAUGCGUCACCUCUCCAGCAGCUCCCUGACCUGCUGCACUUUGGGUGGCAAUGAUGGCAAAGAAAGAAAGGAGCACUUUGGGCCUCAGAGCUACCAUCGAUCUCAGACAAGGUGAGGGGAAGGAGGCGGGUGCCUCAGCUCCAGAUCCGGGACCAGAUGCACCAUCUGCUUUGUACUGCACUAUCCUGAUGGGAAGACAGCCAUUUCCACUGACAGCUCUGGAGUGGAGGAGACUUUUUCCACUUUCCUGCUUGCUCCUAGUGGGGAAUGCUGUGCAGCCUCCUGGAAGUUGGAAUGCUUAUUGCGUGUGUUACUGAUGCUCCUGCACGUCCCCUGUCAGGUAGGAGUGGUGGUGCCUCUACACCUCAGCUUCCAUCUGCACCUUCCCUUUCAGCAGUGACCUUGGGGUGCGAUGGGAAAGCAUGGAAGUGCAGAUCAAAAACUCUUCAAGAAACGCAGCUAGGAAGCAAGCAGCAUACUGUAGUAUGUGGCUGCUGGAGCUGAGACACGACUGUCCUCUCUGACACGACUGCAGGGAAUCCGCGCAAUGCUUCUCAGAAAUAAUUUGUUUCUGCGCUGGAUCUACUUUUGCACAACGGGGAUACUUGCCUCUAUCAAACCGGUGGUCGAAAUCCGAGGUCGGCGCGUGCAGGAGGAGAGUGAACUUCCCGGGGAUGCCUUUAGAUGUCUCCCUUCCUCGUCUGUUCGGCGAUGACAGCAGGGGCUGGGCUGCCUGCGGGUUGGGCUGCAGAGCAGUCAGAUUGCCUCGGAGGGUAAACGAGGAUUUUUGAAAACCUUCUAAAGCAAAAGUUAAUGGAAAAGAGAGCCUCGUUGCUCACAGAUACGUCAUUACUUUCUCAGGCGUUUAUGAACAAAUAAAAUGCAUCUACUACAUGGGAGAAGAGUUCUUCCCCUGUGCCCCACGCUCCAGCCCUACCCCCAAGCAAUUGUCUUACUUAUUACAAUUUCAACAUCUCUUCUCUUUGAAGUACAACCUGUUGUUUCGUUAUAUUAUUUCCAUUCAUGCUGUGGAAAUAAAACUUACGACAGUGUCGAUUUCUCAGAUCCGCUUGUAGACUUGGAAAUUUGCAUCAGAUUAUUCUAAUCACUUAGCCUUGUUGUAUAUAUUUACACAAGCACUUUUGAUGUUUAAACAGACCAGGCUGUAAUGAGAUAGGCGCGGGGAAAUAAAUACCCCAAAGAAAAGGAAUGUUCUCUUUUUUUCAGGCCGCUUCCUAAACUAGAAAUGUUCAGCUAAAACAGUGGGUCAGUGCCUUUGGGACCUGAGGGAAUGACUCUAAGGGUGGAAGCACGGAGGGAUGGAUCUGCCUUCAGAUGCAGUGGGCAGAGAGAAGAGCAUCUGGGUGCCUGUGAGGGUGAGGAGCGUGCUGAGGACUUGUCCUUCUGUGCCCUUUGUUACAGCUGUAAGCCGCCUCCUUGGCCAUCCUGGCACAAGAAACUAUUCCACAUGAACCCUAGAUGUCAAUAUGCAGUGACACAAGUUUCUAGAGGCUGAGCAGGAAGAGGAUCAGCUCCACUGAUUUCAGUGGCAACAGUUGCAGACACAGCAAAAAGUCCUGGGACUGACUGUGGUGCAAUUGUGCUGGCUCAGCUCCAGACAUGCAGGAAGUCCUGCAGCAUUGUGUUCCUGCAGGCAGGAGGCCUGGUAAGCACAGCAGCCACACAAUCAGGUUAACUCAGUCUUGAGGCUGGCUCCAUUAGAUCAAGAACAACAGGCAAACAGAAGCAGCCCAUACAUAGCAAAUGUAGAAAAAGGUGGAGAAGUAGACCAGGUGAAGGAGAGACAGGAAUCUUAUGGACUGAAGAAGACAAGAAAUCUUACCCUAAGAUGCAGGAAAUUGCCAAUUGUUUCAUUUACAGUUCAGCUUCACAAAGGCCAGGGGAUCGUAUUUACAUUUGCAUGAUAGAACACAAAGAAUACUUGCAAUUCUUGAAAUAGCAGAAAGGGAGAACAUUCUGGAUGACCCUGUUGUUAACGUAGUCUUGAAGUGGAAUCUGGAACAAAUCAGCCAUUACACAAUAAACCACUCAAAAGACUACAAAAAACUGCGUGUCAGCACAGUUUUAAUUUUGUAACGGGAGUUAGUGAAGUUUGUGUGUAAGAACUUAAAGAAAGAAAAAGAGAAGCUUGUUCUGAGAAGAUGCACUUCCAUAAACUCAGUGACAGAUGAGAGCAGACUUUGUAACUCUCACACUGAAAGUGAUCUAUCCACUUAGACAUGCAAAUGUCAUUUUGAAUAAGUCUAACAUCUUGAAUUGUCAACGGUGGGAAGAGGUUUCUCUAAAGGCAAGUUGUAUUCUUCAGUUAUCCUAAGCUUGUAAACCAUGUAGAACCAAGGGGGAAAAAAAAGAACAAAAUUGAAAGAUUCUGCUUUACUAGCAUUUGGUGACUGAAAGAUUCCGCUUUACUAGCAUUUGGUGACUGAAAGAGCUCAUUAAGAUAACAUUUUCCACUUUAUAACCGCUUCACAAGCAAAUAUUCCUGGCAGCACUGCUCCUCUCAUACUUAGGGAUACUUUAAAGAGGAUGGCCAGGACCUUUGCCUGGGCCAGAAGAGAAGCAAGCGCAUGGCCAGUGCUGGCUGGGCAGUCUCUGAGCACAUUCCUCUGCCCUCCAUGGAUGCAGCAGCAGUAACACCCCAGGGCUUUCAUUCUAGCUGACUUGUUUUGUCUUAUUCCUAACUUGCAAGUUAUAUGCCUUGUUGCACCGGUAACUUCAUGAGACUCUGUGACCCACUUGAAGCAUGGUCAGAGACUAAUGGUCCCUCUUCACCUUAAAGGACAUGCACUUGUGAAAUGAUCAGAAGUACCAGGAGAUUCACAACUUUUCUCCUUCACAGAAGUAUGACAAGACAUAGAUAGCACACACAGUGGGAAUCAUGUCAUUUUCCCUCAGCAGCAACUGAUUCAGCAGCACCAUCUUGACCUAUGCCAGCUACUGCUUCAGCUCCUUGCCUGUAGGAGAGAGACAAAUGGACUUUGAUAGCUAUCCAACAUGAGCAGAACUCUCCCAUGGUGGACAGGUUUGGAAUACUCCAGGUCUAACAAAAUGGGAGCUCCUAUCAGUUCCACCCUGAGGUCUCAUGGAUGCCUCGAGUAGCUUUGCAGCUCCAUUGUGACAUUACACCAAUUUUCCAUCAUGACCAGCAUGAUCCUACUUGGAUAUUCCAGGUGGUGUCCUGUCCUUACCUCCUAAGGGAUAGCUCAUGUCUGACAGCAAAAGCAGAUUUCAAUGAUGUUCUUGAUUUAAAUCCAGAAAACAACAUCUUGAUGAACUCAUGCUCCUGGUUAUUAGUAGAGACUACCAGAUUGCUGCACAUCAGGGAGGGGAACUGCAUUUUCCUUCUCAACUUCUUGUAACCUAAAGGAGUAGAAAGACUGCUUUAUGCUUAUGGUCGAUAGGGUGCACGGUGUGCACAGAGAAAUCACACUUCAUCUUGCAAAUUUAUCAUACUAUUAUUCUACAGUUUUUCUACAGCUAAAACCUACAAGUUGCUAAAAUUGCUACCAUUGUUAAAUGCUACUCAGACCUGAAAUACAUCUAUAGUUAUCAAAACUGAGCUGGGAAGCCAAUGGGUAUAAGAGACCUAACUGUGAAUGUCUUGCUCCAGGUUACUUUCUGUAGUUGGUAAUAGAGAGAAAGAAAGAAAGAUUUGCAUUAGCAGUUCUGAUCCAAGCAGAACGUAGUAAAAUUGGGAAUCAUUUUCAUGUAAACACCUAAUUAAGCUUUGAGUUCUAGUUUAGUUUUGGAAGCAAGUUCUGAAGUACUUAUAACAAGGAUUAAAAGAUGUAACAAAGGGACAAGAGUCUUGAAACAGCUCCUGAAGUCAGGGUUGCUCACCUUUCUGCUUCCUGAUUAAGGCAAAGAUAACAUCUGCAAUAAACUGGAGUGAACUGAUUGAUUUGCUUGAGAAGUUUCCAAAAGCAUAAGUACCUUUUCCUGAAGCAACCUAUCGUGACAAAAAAAAAAUCCCUUUCCUCUUAAAAAAAAAAAUCACAUACAAAAUAUGCACAUUUCAGCACUUUUCCUCCCUGAGGCUUUCUCAGUCUAGGAAAAAAAAGAGAUGUUUUUUUCCAAUUGCCUGUAAAAGGUUUGCAUCUCUGCCAGGUGGUUUGCAUCUGACAGUCAAAUACUGCUGAUGAGAAUCAUCAGUUCCUUCAAGGACUUGACAUUGCAUCCAAUUUGUUUCGCAAGUGAGUGUGUAAGGAAGUGACUGCAGCUAUUAUUCUGUUAGAUUUAGUCAAAACAUCCCCAGAAGAGGUAGGAGGGCAUGCUGGGAAUUGUUUGAUGAGCCUGCUGGGAGAAUAAUUACAUGGCCAGCAGUUUGUUCACUUUAUCUUCUGUAGCACUUUCUUAGUGCCUUUUGUGUGGUUUGAGUACUCGGCUUUUUGAAUGAAAGAAUAUUUACUGCUAUUGUCUCUCCAGCUAAUUCCCAGAUUAUGCUGUCUCAGAUGUGCAUUCUGGGAUAAUUCUGUGUUACAUUAAGUAUUAUGAAAUUUAAAUAUUUUCUUCAAUAUUCUCUUCCUUACUCGAGAUGGAAUUUUCUGCACCAUAACUGUGACUGAACUGGGAAGAGUUGCCCUCUGAUUAUGAUGCUUACACAGACCAUAGGACCAAUUCUGCUGUAAUCUUGCUGCUCUGAGCAGGACGAAUGUCAAAACUUGCAACUUCAAGACAAUUUUUUGGGGUUAAAAUGGCACAUAUAAACGUUGAUUUUGUUUUUAAUGUAACGUCUUACAGCUUAAAGCUUUCAAGAGUAGCCUAGGUAGCAGGGAAACAAAGAUCUGUUAGAGUUUCAGUUUGUUUCAGCAGCUUUUGAAAAAAAUAAAUGGGUAUGAGCCCCUGGAAGACAGCAUGUGGAAGUAUUACCAAAAUAUUAAUUCUGAGGUGACAGGAAAAUCGAAAGCUAUGAAAGGAAUCACAUUUAAAACUGGAAACUGUGCUUAUUCAGCUGACUACAAGGGGGUCCAUGACAGCUGUGGGCGCCUUCUAUAAGGCAGGGAUGCAAUAAAAAAGGUGGUAAUAGCAAACCUCAUCCAGCAAUCCACCUUCCAAGAGCAGUCUGACUGCUCCUCUCUAGACCAGUUCUCUUCUCAGCUGCUGUUCCUGAUCCAGCAGACCUGUGUGUGUGUAUCCUAAGCCAUCAGUCUCACAUCUCUCUGGUGGGUGCAGUAUGUGUGCUUUUUGGCACUCCAGGAGGAAAUACAUGGCUGCACAUCCCUUGUUUUAAAUAAAUUGAAGUGAAUACAAAAGAAGGAGAAGAGAAAAGUAAAGGAUGUAAAAAUUACCAUACCAGAGCCUUUUGCUGCUAGAAAUAUGGAUAAAAAAUAUUGCUUGUGACUCCAGUGAAAUGAGCCUGCUCUUAGAAAGCCUUCUACAAUCUAUCUUGUUUGUGCACUUUAGACUUCAGAAGAACUAACCUUAUUGGAAUAGAGUUGGAAACAUUGGAUCAUUGGCCAAAGCUUUAAAGAAAAUGUUUCCUUGCUACAGAAAGAACAUUAGCAUUCUCACAAAGAAGGUUCCAUAGAAACAAGAAAUACAUUUUUACAGCAAAACUCCCUUUGAUGUGAAUCUUGAGCAAAGCACAAAAAAAAGGGCCAGUGGGAUUCUAUUUCCUUCUGUGUACGCUUUUGCAAUUCUUUUUUUUUUUUUUUUUUUUUUGCUAAUGGGCCACCUGGGAUAUUGUCUUUCUGGUGACUGAACUAAGGCACCUUAGCAGGGUGGGAGGGAUACAAAGGAUUCCUCAAAGGAACGCACUUGCUCUAAGCAGCUUCUCAGAGGGAAAUAUUUCUGUGUCUUUUACCCAUCUUUUCGGUUUCUUCACAAUGUCUCCUUCACCUUACAGUUGCACAGCAGAAGUGCAACUUGAAUUACCAGCCAGCAUCAGCUCCAGCAAUCUGCUCCUGACAGAAGCUAGUGCUGGAGAAAAAAAAUCAAGAAAUUACCUUACUGGCAACAAAGAAAUGUCAGGUUUAAAAGAAAACUGUUACACAGAGAAAUCACUUAAACUGUGAGGAAAUUGAUAAAAGAAAAAUGCCUACUGAGGAAGAACGAGGACCUUAUAAUGUGACAUGCUCAGAAAGUCACUUACAUGACUUCUGAUGUACAUUUGUCCCAGUUGAACAGAACAAGGCUCUUUCUUCAAACAAGGAGCAAAAAAGCUACAUUGCACUGAUUGGAAAAAACAAAUCUUAUUUUCCAUGUCUGUGCCCUGAACAAAAAAAGAAGUAGAUGAAAGGAUGGUGUUGUAACAGAUCAGGCUUCAUACCACAUCAGAGUUUAUCAAGAAAAUGACAUACAGACAUAAUAGUUGCAGGAUAGCAACUCAUAGGUCAAGAAAAAACAGAAAGGUAAUUUCAUUUGCUCCAGAUCUCCAGAAAGUCUUUAAGAAUUGGUAAGAACCUGGUGGCAGCAAACCACCAGACAUACUUGUUUGUCAAGGAACAAAGCUCUCAUAAUAUGAUGGGCAAUGUCACAAAAAAGCAUGAAAUUCUUAUGUAGAAUGAAUUAGUCUUCAAAAGAGGCAGGCAUCUGAUCAAACAUCUAAUUGUUAAUCAGUUGUCAAGCAAUUUCACUACUCCUACUAAAUUCAAAAUCAUAUUAUGACUAAUUUCAGCCACAUACCAUCUGCAAAGCAGCCUGAAUACUUUGCUUCCAUUCUGGCCUGUACACUAACAACAGAUAAUUAUUAAACGGCGUAAUGACCUGCUAAGAAUACUGUGGAAAACCCGCUGUAGUACUGGUUUAUUGGAAUUCAUUAGAGAAUGAUAUUUGAAAUCAGCUGGGUUACUAACACUAGCCAAAUAUCUGGUUUUAUGUGUGGGCUUAUCUCUCCAUAAUCACUCCCACAUGGACUAAAGUUUGUGUUUAGUUCUGACAGUAGAAGUAAAAGAGAAGCUAUCACUGGUAAUAACAAUUCUAGUCACGUACUGGACCAGGUUCAUUCCUGAAAUAAUUCUAGUCGAAGGUGUUCAGACUACUAUAUGCAUUAAUUUAAUCUACUAGAUUUGCCCAUUGCAUGCUAUCUUGGGUCAUCCUUAUAUUCUCACUAACCAGCAAUGGAUGUAACACACUGUUAGGAAAACACUUGCUUAUAGCAGUGACGUCACCGCAAAGUGAAAACAGAUGCUAACUAAAUUCUAAUAUGCGCAAGAAAGUGUGUUGGCAGCUGCAACAAAUAUCACAGUAACUGUGGAAUUCUCAUAUUGCAAUGUCUGACAAUACAAAGCAUAAGAAGCAACUAGAAAUCUAAAAGAAAACUGAAGGUGCCACCCCUAAAGAGGAAAUCUACAGAACAACAUUCUACAAUCUACAUCAAAUCUACAACAUCAUUAAAAAAAACAACACAGAAAAAUGUAUAGAAAAUUCCACCAGGUACCUCAUAUCACCACUUUUUCUCAUAUGCAGCGAGAAAAAUACUCACACCUCACCUCAUCCAUCUGAAUAGAGCUCAGUAAGAACUCUGAUCUGAAGGAUGAAUGAACCUUUGAACAAGUCAAGUCAUUUGAGAAAUGCAGAGAAACUUACCAUGAUGCAAAAGAUCAAGUGUCACUGCAUGCACAUCUCUCAUUGCCCUAUUGUACCCUAAACUAAAAAUUUAGUGUGAAAAAUCUUAGAGUUACAGUCUAAGCUAGAAAGAAACAUCAUAUUGUGCAAGAAUUUUGCCCAGAAACUCCACUCAUUGCUCUUAAGUAAAGUUUAGAGACUUGGCUGUCUUGAUUGCCAGCAGCAAAUUUUCUUUAGGAUAUCAUACAUCAGACCAUUUUGAGGCAAAACCACUUCCAGUUUGUCAACAAAUUUCCUGCAGUAAAGGCUACAGAGGAAUCAAAUUGUUAUGCAAGUCAUCCCAUGCAUCAAAUGUCCUUAUAACAAUUACCUCUGUGGAGUCGAAGACUGAAUACAUGCUAAACUGAGCUCAUCCAGGCAAUAGAGAUCACAUCCAACCAGUUUUUUGCACUGUUUUCAUGGAGCAAUGGUGUCAUGUUUGAGUAGUGAGCUCUUUGGCAACCUGCAAACAAACUACAGAGUCAGGGUGGGGGUUACACUCAACGACCCGUUUCUUGCUUAAGUGUAGCAGAGCUAAGAGAUGCCGCCUUUCUAAGACAAUACUAUCUUCUCCCUUCCCUCUCCUGUCAGCUUCUCACUUCGCUAUUGCUGAUUAUUACUGUCUCUCUUCACCUCAUAGGGCCUAACUAACUUAUUUCCAGCAUUCUAGGAGAUUCCUUUAUUUCUAUGAAGUCACACACUUUCUCCUCCCCACAGCAAGUGUUCUCCCUGGUCAAGGAACUUUUUUUUGCUUCUACGGCAGGUCAACAUAUAAAAAUAAGUAGGUCCCACCCACCCAGACAGUAGGUCAACACAUAAAAGAAAUAGGUUCUACCCACUCAGGAAAAAAAAAAAAAAAAAGCAUGCUGAAAUAUUUCUUCUCUCAGUAAGCCAUAAGAGAACCUAUAGACUCUAGUUUACUUUUACACUAAAUCUGUUCACAUUUGAAACAACAAAGGCAGUAGCAAUUAUAUGCUGCUUGAGUUUUCAAACCACUGCCUCUGUCUUGUAACUCCAACAAACAGAUAUUUAAUCUCUAUUGAUCUGUUUAGCUAACCCUUCCAGCACGUGCGCUUGGGUACACAGUGUCUAUUAUAUUCACUUAGAUUUCUAGUGCUUGUUCUGGAGUGCUUUUUACAAACACAGCAGUAUCUCUUGUGGUUUUAAUCAAAGACAUUUGCAUGGCAUGACCCACUUAGAUCUGCAGCUAAUGCUGUGAACUAUUUUAUUUUUUCAAGUAUCAAGGCUAUGCAAUUACUGAAUGGUAAGCUCACCUAUAUCACUAAACACCUGCCAAGAAGAAUAUUGCAAAAAAAUCUCAAGACAUACAAGCUGGGCUGAAGAAGCAAUAGUAAGUAUGUAGCACAAAACUGGAUGAAAAACAGAUACAUAAACAUUUCCAUCUGUAAUCUCUCUGACACAUGGAUUAUUGCUGAAGUUUAAAUUCUGAGAUUCAACAUCUUAGCAUUUAUCCACUUCUAACAUGGAUCUUCUGAAAUCUUGCCAAGGGAAUGCCAGCUAAGUCUAACUGUCCUCAUAUCUCUUUAAGAUAUGCACAAACAGUAAAACCAUAGAAGAGUGAAACAACUUCCAAAAAGGAUUCCAGGUCAUUGAGUCUGACUGGAAAUAGUGUGAAGCAUAUCUGGCCAUAUUAGUUAUUCCAGAGUCUAUUCACAGAAACAGUAUUGUCUGAUUGCAAGACGUCUUGUCAAAUCUUUGCAUAAUCACAACCCAUCAGCAGGACAAAGCAAAUGAAGUGCAAAUAUUAGAAGAUGAAACAAUUACUUUUCGUUGAAUACAGAGGAAUGGUAAUUAUGAUCUGAUUUUGUUUCCUUUUUAAUAGCUUUAUGUCAUCUACUUCCACCAUGUGCGCCUUUGGUUGGGAAAUUUUAUGAUUAAAAUUAAUCUACUUCUGGUCUACAAGGUCUUUUCAGUAAUGUAUUAUUGGAAAGUCUCAUUUUGAUGAUUUAUUAAUCUAAUGUAUCAUUAUAGAACUGUCAUGCCAUACAGUUCUGUUCUUUCUUACUGUCAGGUACUUUGGUGACAGUCUUCCUGAACGUGCUUCUGGCCAGCAGUCAUUUCUAGAAAUAUGUUAAAUGCAAUAAAUAAUAAGAUAAAAUAAGGAAUAGCUUCUUGAUGGAAAAAAAAAUAAUCUGAUACUAAACACAGCAUUUUGACACUACUUCUAGAGCAGUGUUUCCUUUGCUGGCUAUCAUUCUUCCUGGGAAGUUAACAGAAGCUUUAGGAUUAAGACUAAUCAAGAAAGAUGGUAACUUACAGCCAAGGUGGCCAAACACUGUAUUCCUUAUCUCCUUUCUAUUAUUCCUCUCUUCUCUACAAGUGCAAAGUAUGCUUUUCUCAUCAAGGGUUUACUCCUAGCAAGUCAGGACAGCUGCUCCUAGUAGAGCACUAUAUAUAUACAUAUAUAUAUAUACUAUAUUCCUAUGAACACUGAAUCUUGUUAAAUGGUAAAUUGUUAAAACUCCAUUUAGGGACUCCUAGGUGAAGGUUGUUUUGCAAUGAACUGUUUUGGGCACUGAUCAGAACAACAGCAUUCUUAUGCUUCCUCAAAAACUUAAAAUACCAGAAAGCACAGAAUUUACUAAGAAGGAAAGGACACUAAGCCAGAACUUGGUGAGAAAUCUGUGCUACCACUAUCCUGUCACAAAACAACUGUAUGUCAUGUGAUCACGGAGUGCCAUUGCACAGAAAUGUAGGACAAGUCAGAUGGUAAGACUACAGGAAAAAAAAAACAAAACACAGAAAACAUCAAGAAAGCAUUUGUGUUGCAGCUAGAAAAUAGCAAGCAGGUUAUCAACUAACAGAGACAAUUUCUAUGCCUAUGUUUUGACUAAAAAGUUCUAAUUUUCUAUGUUAUCAAAAAGCGUGGGCUGGUAUUGCUGUAAACCUUUUAGGUAGAAAAAGAUAUAGAACAAGUAAACUUAAUUUAUCUUAUAAAUAAGUAACAAUUCCCAUCACCGCAUUCAGUAAAUGUUCUGCAGUGAGAAAACUCUCAGGAUUUCCAGGUAAAUACAGAAUACUAAGUAACAAAGACAAUAGGACCUCACCUCAAAUCACUGAAGACAGUGAAAUAAAAAAGCCAAUCAGCUUCAGUGACCCCAGGAUCACUAACAAAAUACCUAAAUUUGAUACUAUUAAAACAGAGUAUUUGGAAUAGACCCCCUGUGUUGGGACUCACAGAGUGAAAACUAUUAAUAAUACUAAUUUUUAAUAUUUGGAGAUGUUUUCAUUUUUUUUUUUUUUCAAAUAUGCCCAAUUAAAAUUUCCCUUCAUUAUCUCCCCCCCCACCCCCACCCCCCCCAAUUCCCCCAGGUAUAAAGAUGUAUUUCCUAAAAUCUUUUUGGUCAGCUGGCUGAAUACUGCCCCAAACUGUCUCCAUAUGUUUUAUUGCUCUGUUUUGGUAGUGUACAGCUUUUCAGCAGUUUUGAAGGUAGAAGUUAAUUUAAAAAGUUCUCACAUCAAAGAACAGUAGAAGUAAGUGUAGUGAUAUACACUGGCUGCAGUCAGUGUCACUGGGCAGUUUUUUGUGCUGGCUUCAAAUAUUAAAGGUACUGUUUGUGCACUUGCAGGUUCCAGAAGGAGUGGAUUUGAAUGGUCAUUAUUGUUUUCAAGUUGGAAGGAACCCAUGUGGAUCUUUAUCAAACAGCUCUGUAACUGAAAGAAACAUAAAUACUGGAGAUGUAAAAAAAAAAAAAAAAGCAUAAUUUAAAAAAAUAAAUAAUCAGUAAGUGAAUCAAAACAGACUGUCAGAAAUGGAUGGGCAACUUCCACAGUUGUAUUGAAUUCGCUAUGCAGUUACCUUGUUUUUAAAGAAACAUUUCCUAGGUUCAGCCUUCUUGGGAUGCUGUAAACACCUGAGGUAAUUCAGUGGUUUGCAUAUAUCAAGGGACAAGUUUCACUUCCGUGGAAUUUAAGAGGGAAACUCCCAUUAACACACAGAAAAUUACAAAUGAAAUUUCAAGAAAGCUUAUAAAUCCAGUGGGUCAAUUUAGGUGCAUUUGUUCCCCCCAGACAAGAAGCAAAACUUUGAGGACAACUUUCCCACAUGCUCCCAACAUAGGAAUUAUCCAGAAGUGGUGAGUUAAUCAUAAAGCAAUUGGAUACUUUCACACAGUUUCUUAAUGUAUUUGAUCCACUAAGUUUCCCAAUCAAUUUCUUUUAGCACCUGAAAUGCAUAUAGUUCAUCUACCACUUAGAAAAUACAAAGGUUUUAGGAACUUUUUCAAACAUAUACUUUGGUAUUUAUACCAAGAAGUCAAAAGGAGCAGAGAGAACUUCUCCAGGUUGUGUUAAGAGAGCUAGCUGCCUUUGUAGCGUUAACAGUGGUAACUCAUAUACAGAAAAUGUAUUUGUGUCCAGUGGCAUUUCUAUAUAUCAAUAUUCAUUCAGAAGAAAGAAUACAAACAAAAAGCUGCACUCAGGAGAAGGAUUGAUGAGAGCCUGUAUAUAGUUACGUUAACUUCUAUAUCCUGGAACAGAUCUAAGCAUUUCAACGUCCUCAGUAUUCCUGUUGGUAACUGAGAAAGUUCUCUGCAAGUGAGAUAGAGAAUCCGACUGUUAGGUGCCUAGUUAGCUAGAAUGCCUCCCCAGAGCACUACAUAAUUAAGGGAGGAAAAGAGAGGCUGCAAUUCAUGAUCCUCACUUUCUUUGGCUACCACAUUGCUAAGUGGAGUUUAGGGUACCUAAUGCCGUGAAAUACCUGGCUUUCAAAGUGUCAAUUCCCUGAAUAAAUCAGUCUGAAAGAGAGCAUGUAACCAAUGUCACCUCCAAAUUACACUCUAAAUAUCCAGUUAAAUGAUCAAUUAAGUAAUGUUCCACAUUAAGGAACAGAAAGGAAGGGGCACAACAAUAAAUUUCACAAAUACAGGAAGUGGUGCCUGGGAAGGAUUGCCCACAUUAAAAAUUUACCAUCUAAUCCUCUGUCUGCUUGCCUCCCCUGACCAUGGCUGUUUUAUGGUUCAGUGUUUGGAAUACCAACAAGAAAAUCUUCAAAUUUCUAUUGCAGACCAUAACAACUUGGUUAUUUCUGAGGCACAUAAUGUUCAUUUACGUCUAUCAUUUCCAAUUCUCAUGCUACGAUUCACGCGCAUUCCCUUUUCUUUUUGAUAAUAGUAAGAAUAAAGACUUGCAUCUGAAAAGCUGUUCUGAAAGGCAGGCAACAAAUAGUAGAGGAUUCCCAAGCUGGACAGAAAGCAGAAUUUACUCAAGACACAGAUGUAACAACACCAGAUGUGUAGGUGUCUGGUCUAGUAUUAGAUAUGGAGGCUGGCAGCCCUGCCUGUGGCAGGAGGGAUGGAGCUUGAUGAUCCUUGAGGUCCCUCCCAACCCAAGCCAUUCUGUGAUUCUAUGAUCCAUCUUCAUAUUUUGUUUUUGAAGUUCUGAGCAAUAAAAGUUGUUUGUAAAACUA
ensembl:lncRNA